AUAGGUUUUAGUCAGUACAAAAAACUGAUGUUUUUUGUAUUCUUUAGCUUACAGUUCAGCAACUGUGCACUAGUAGCUAUUUAUUCGAGAACGGCAUAAGGAAGGUAUCCAAUUUAUUUUCAGGUUUUGAUGUAUAGAUUAAUUGACCAUCCACCUUAGUUAUUUUCAUACUUGCAUCAUUUAGUGUGUACCUUAGUUUGCUGUAGUUGUGCCUACUAAUCAAGCUGAUGUAAUUGUUAACAUGUUGAUUCGGUAGUGUACGAAUUCAUCAUGGUUUGGGUAUAUCAUUAGCAUUGUGAUUCGAAACAUCAGGUAUUCAGAUCAGAUACAAAGACAUACAUAAAUAAUUAAAUUUCUUUUUCCUGGAUGUUUCUUUCAGAGUGCAUAUAAGAAUACCAUGAUUUUUUUCUGUAGCAAUCCAAGCCACCCUUUCCUAGCAGGUUUGGUGCUUUCCAAGCUGUCAACAAUUAUUGUGAUUGACCAUGGGAACGAAGCUUUUACCACUUGUGGAGAUUUCAGACCGAGUGAAGAAGCCGGUUCUGAUGUGCCGAAAAGGAGAGCAAGGGCAGCGCCUCCUUCCUAUCCUCACCCAGGGUGGGCGGCGAUCUGUCUAUGAAGUUUUAGAGGUAAAUCAGGAAUAGUUUUUUUUGUGAUUCAUAGGCCAUAGUUCAGCGUCCGUGCAGUAAAUGUUGUGAGCAAUGCAACAUUUCUCUUACCAUGUUUUGUGUAAAUAUUUCAUCGGAAAGGAUUGUGCUACUAUGUACCAUUACUCUUGGAUGCAACUUUUUGUCGCAAAUAUCUCGAUUUAAUCUGCAUCAUUACUCUAAAUGCUUCUUCAAGUCAUGUAUAGUAUCUUUGAAAUUUUGUGUGAUCUCCCAUCCCCAUUUCUUAGAGGCGCUGUAAUGAUCUGAAUGAAAGCCUUUUUAUUUGCAAGUGACAGACUACACCCUGAUACACAUAGUUAGAAUGCACUAACCUAUUAUGAUGAUACUGUAGCAUGGUCAUUUGGAUCAGUGAGAUGCACAUUUUCUCCUUCCUUCUCUAAUAUGUAAUUUUGAGUGUGUUACUUUGCCUCUUCCAUUGGUAAUACAAAGGUAUUAGAAUUUAAUUGAUUUGCAUUUUACAAGAUGGAAUUUCUUCUUUGAGUGCAGGGAUUCAAAGAUGAUUAGUACUUGGUUUUCAUGGUCAUUAAAGUCGAGUGCUGAGUGGAUACUAUGGUGAGCUUAAUCAAAUAACUAUUCCCCUUCACGAGGAAUAGAAAGAGCCAGCGAUUGCGUGACGCUUCGUGUGUGGCUGCUUAUUCCUUCCUAGGGAUUGCCUUCGCAAGAAAACUUUCUGUUCGCUUGCCUUUCUCUCCCAGAGGCAUCCCUCCUUCUAGAUCUCAUUAUAGCUUUCAUGUGAAAGUCGCUUGAUCAUGGGCAUAAGCAGAACACAUUUAGUUUCAUUGGUGCGUGCGGAUGAGCAGUGAACUUGGAAGGAUUUCUAUUCCCAUGUGAUCUGCUUGGUCUAUGUGUGAGCAUCAUUCCUAAAUAUAGCUCAUCAUGCCAUUCUUUUUGGUCCAUGACCACAUCAAUGUGGAUGUUCCUAUUAAAACAAAGGUACAUAAUUGAUAUUUUCCUUGAUUAUUAAUUCCUCGAUUUUGUUGCUCAGAUUUGUAUCCCACGAUUUCAUUUACUGUGAGAUGCUAUCGACACACACGGGCACACAUGCCUAAUCUAUUCUCAGGUUCAGUUUCUGGUCACUUCAGUGAGGUUUUUCAUCAACUAAUAUCUUUGAACUCAUAUUGUGCACCUUUAUAUAUGGCGGUUGGCUGUAUACCUUUAGUCUGCUUUGUCAAAGGCUGUUGGUAUUAAGCUUUAGUGCUUCAUUGUUCAUCAUAGUCUCAUUCCCUUGAUAAUUAAUAAUGAGGCAAUGAAAAAUAGGUGAAACUGUAAGAAACAUGAAGCGGAGGAACACGAUUCAGUUUGUCAUUGGAAAUUAGUUUCCAUGGCUAAAUUACUCAACUCUGCACCAUGUUUUUUCUCGCUCAUCUUGUUUAUUUUCUAUGGUAUAUUGUUCUUUAUCGGUUCCAUUAUUUCUUCAAGAACCCGCAGAUCAACUAUGUUUAGAUAUGAUUUACUUCCGAAAAUAAUGAAUUGCGUUUGUGCUUUCAGCUUAGGCGAAUCUAUACC